GCCGGAGCUGACUCCAUGUUUUUUCCCAAUGUAGAGAUCGCUGGAGAUGGCGAGCUCCGAGACUCCCUCUAUCUUCUGUUUUCAGAGCAACUCUAUGGGACAGAAAUUAAAAUCGGCGAGAUGAAUCUGUGUCUACUUUUGAGACUCUAUCGGGAACAGAACUCAUCCCCAUCCACAGCCAGCCUGGGAGGAGACAAAUGCGGUUAUCCACGUUGAGAAAUCUCAGGUAGCUCCCUGCCAGCCCUAUCCAGGGCUGAGUGGAAACUAAGAAAGAAUUAGAACUGGACUAACACCCCAAAGAAGGAGGAGAAUGGAGGACGUGGCACUUUUUACUUUGAAACGGGACAGUCAGUGGGUUUCCAAUCUUGGUUAGAUACGUAUGUGUGCCUGAAACAGAUUUUGUGAAUCUAGUAUCGCCAUCGACAGCUAAUUUCUGGUGUGGUUGAAAGAGGUCGCUUUCAGCUCCUUUGCUGUUUCUUCAGCGAGGAAUCCAGAAGCCAGCCGUUUGGCAGGGCACUUUUUACUGAAGAAAACUUUGGCCUGUUUGUUGGAUGACUGUCUAAAUUGCAGAAAAUAUGCCACACUGCAUCUAACUCCUGCGUGGCCGCUGAUUGUGAUUCCCACUGGUACUUUUGCUGUUAAGUGUAGUCUUGCCAUAAAAGAUUGAUAUACUGGCGUGGUAUUCAUAAUGUCUGGAUGAUAGAAUUAAGAUACUCCUAAUAAGUCACAUAAUUGAAAGCAUUAUUCUAAGAACUCCUUCAUUUGAAACAACCCAUCUUCUAGUGGAUGCUUAAAACCUAAAAUUACAUCAAUGUAACCUUCAUCCCAAACUACAGUAUAAAGGAACAAUACAAAUUGAAUGGA